rnacentral:lncRNA from 1 species
AUACCAUACUGCACCCCCACUAUACUAUAAUACCAUACUGCACCCCCACUAUAAUAUAAUACCAUACUGCACCCCACUACACUAUACCACCAUACUGCACCCCACUAUACUAUAAUACCAUACUGCACCCCACUAUACUAUAAAACAAACUGCACCCCACUACACUAUACCAACAUACUGCACCCCACUAUACUAUAAUAACAAACUGC